GACAGAGGGUGCAAACGUUGCUCGGAUUUACUGGGCGUAAAGCGCGUGUAGGCGGGUGGAUAAGUCGGGUGUGAAAUCCCUGGGCUCAACCCAGGAACUGCAUCCGAAACUGUCCAUCUAGAGUGAUGGAGAGGAAAGCGGAAUUCCCGGUGUAGAGGUGAAAUUCGUAGAUAUCGGGAGGAACACCAGUGGCGAAGGCGGCUUUCUGGACAUCAACUGACGCUGAGACGCGAAAGCGUGGGGAGCAAACAGG
rnacentral:rRNA from 1 species